rnacentral:rRNA from 1 species
AGCGAACGCUGGCGGCAGGCUUAACACAUGCAGGUCGAGCGGGCGUAGCAAUACGUCAGCGGCAGACGGGUGAGUAACGCGUGGGAACGUACCUUUUGGUUCGGAACAACACAGGGAAACUUGUGCUAAUACCGGAUAAGCCCUUACGGGGAAAGAUUUAUCGCCGAAAGAUCGGCCCGCGUCUGAUUAGCUAGUUGGUAGGGUAAUGGCCUACCAAGGCGACGAUCAGUGGCUGGUCUGAGAGGAUGAUCAGCUACAUUGGGACUGAGACACGGCCCAAACUCCUACGGGAGGCAGCAGUGGGGAAUAUUGGACAAUGGGGGCAACCCUGAUCCAGCCAUGCCGCGUGAGUGAUGAAGGCCCUAGGGUUGUAAAGCUCUUUUGUGCGGGAAGAUAAUGACGGUACCGCAAGAAUAAGCCCCGGCUAACUUCGUGCCAGCCGCCGCGGUAA